rnacentral:lncRNA from 1 species
UAUUUUAAUUAAAUUAUUUUGAUUUAUGGAUAAAUUAGAUACAUCUUAACCCACUAAAAAAAAUCUAAAUGAGAUUUCUCAAAUUAAAACAGAGAGAUUUCCUCUACAAUAAUAAAGAACAAAGAAAAGAAACCGCUGCCUGUCAAAAAGAUAUCACAUAGCCUCCUCCGAGUAGAAACGUCAUUGAACGCCCACAGUUCAAAUAUGAUCAAGAACCUCUUGAUUUAUUCUUUGGGCUACAUGCACACAACACAGAAAUCAGUGGAACUCGAAAUCCAAAAGCGAUUACUCGAUGCAUGCUGCAGAGAUCGAGCGUAAUUCUAGAGAUUAUAUUAUAAAAAAUAUAUUGUGGACCCAGAAUUGAAAAUGACUUCAAAUUUUGGACAGGCAUGGAAGGACUUGCCCUUCAACGAUAUCGUGCUCCUUGUUUGCUUAUUCGAACAAAAACCUCGCAGAAAUCUCAAGAAAAUGCACGAUGUAGCUCUCCCUCUGCGGAAAAUGCAAGAUCAAGAACCAGCUUUAUCUAAAAUCACAAGAGCCAAUACAAUAAUGGGAAGGAUGGCCUAGGUAAAAUACGGUUAACUGAUAGCAAAUCUUAUGCAAUGUAUUAUAUAAAUCUCCAUUUUUAUAUUUAACUUACCCACUGUAAAAAUUAUUGAGCAUGAAUAAUAACUACAUAAACAUGUAAUUUUUUUUUUUUUGUUAAUGCUCAAUAUUAUACUGAUCAUAGAUAAUUGAAGUGAGGAGUGAAAGCCUCGUCUCUUAAGAGGGGACAUUAUCCCAAGCUUAUGACCCAGACUUAAAAUGAAUAGGGAUCCUAGAUAAAAUUAUAAAUGAAACCUUUUAAAAUAUAAUUUUUAAGAAAUAUAUUUUAAUUUAUUAUUCUUCAUGUAUGUCUAAUAAUAAAAAGAACAAUUUUCAUUUCAUAAAAUAUAAUUGAAAAAUAAACCUUAUUUAUUCUUGUAGUUUUUUAUUAAAUGGGGUCCUUGGCCAUUGUCCAAGUUGCCCAAUAUGCUCUAGCUCACUAAACACUUAGACCAAGCAUGCAAGAUCUUCAGCAAGUGUUUGGUUUUCGCAAGUUAGAACGAACGAGGUGCACGAGAGGCAAUACGAGCGUACCUCCUGGCUCAUUUAGUCUUUGAAAAAGCGUAGUCAUAAGCCUGCGUUUCUCUUGUUCUAUCUACAAAUAAUCCAUCAAGAUUUAAAUAACGCCAUGCGAAAUCGAUCAAAUGAACAAGAUUUCCGAAAUCUCUCGCUCGAUGUCUUUCUACCGUGAAUACAGUAGCUAGCUAGAAUAAAUUAACGUCAAGGUCCUUGAAAGAAACCAUAUCAAUCCAGCAGAUAGCUUAAACAUAACCAUUUCUCUCUUUUUUCACGACCCUUGAGAAAAAAAUGCAGAUCUUCAGCAAAGUGUUGAGAGAUACUGAUGUCCAUGUUCGGUUCUCGUUCCCAACUCAUUGCCUAGAGCAUUUAGAUUUUUCUGGAAAUAAUCUUGUUGAUUUGCAUGUUAAAGAUAGAUGUGGUGAGCUUCGAGUUAUUCGUUGCCUGAAGAGAAAUGGAGUUUAUGACAAGCCAGUGCUUUCUAUGGGCUGGCUUAAAUUUGUUGCUGAUUAUGGACUGAGAGUUGGUGACAAGGUUGUUCUUCAUCGUGAGGAUGACCAGAACCUGGGGUCACAGUUCAUGAUUGAAGCUAAGAGGAGAAUCAUGCUGCUUGGUGAGGAGGCUUGGGGUGAUGUGACAAGAGCUAACUAGCUAUUAUUUGGAUGUUCGGCCAUAUCCAGAUAUAUAUAGAAGAAUGAAUUUAUGUAUGUGUUUAUGUUUGAGUGUUUGUAGUGAUCAUAAUCAAUGUCAUCUGCGUCAGUCUAAUUAAAUACAUAGAAGAAUGAAUUCCGUUUCCAAGAGUUUUUUUUUUCCAGGUUUUUCAAUUUUGUUGGUUUUUUAUUUUUAUUUUUUCUAUUUUGUGCGCAUUUCAAGUGUCUGAAAACGAGGAUUUCCAUUGAUUUGAUGGAUAAAUAAAUCGAAAUGGAUAAAAAAGAAAUAUAAUUCUUUAAAUCAUGGGAACUAACACAUGCAUUGGUGAUGCUAUGAAACAAAGAUCGAUUGAUUCAAAUCCAUCAUCAUCAAUAACAUAUCGUAUUUAGAUUCAUCAAAUUGAUUCGGUCAUACUAGUUUAGCAACUUUUUUUUUUAUUAGAGUUAGAAAAUUUAAAUUGAAGUUAUAUGUGGAUUCGAGUUGAAAUAACAUUUGUUGAAUUAAUAUUUUGAAUUUUAUAUAUAUAUAUAAAGAAUAGUUCAAUCUCAAAACGAUUUGUUGAAACGCUAUGAAACUAAAACAUUUAGUUUUAAUUAAAAAAACAGAACGAAAACCGGACUGAAGCAAUUGUAACAUGGACUCCACCAUUAGCCUGUGAACUCAAGAGUCCAACUUCCUCUUUCCUUCCUAGUUUAUGUGAAGUUUGCUUACUGAUUCACAUGUCCUUAAAAACUUUUACAGGUAUUACGGAUUGGUUUUGUGAUGUCUCAAGAGGACAGUUUUUUUUUUUUUCUUUUGUAAAGAAGUUUGAAGCAAGCAGGCAAGCAACCAUCAAGAAACUAGCUCAGUAUUGAAUUGAAACAUGUCCAGUCCUUCAAAAUUCACAGAAUGUAAUGGGAAUAGUGAGAGUAAUUCAAUAAAGAAGCACUGAAACAAAACCCCAUGUUUGGGAAUCAAAAUAAGUCCACAUGGAGGGAUUCACAAAAGGCAUCAAAAUUGAGAAGAGAAACUUACUCCUUUUCUCCUCCUCUUUUGAUAAGCCCAGAUGGAGGGAUUCACAAAGGCAUCAAAAUUGGCCCAAACCUGGAGCAAAACGCAAAGAAAUUAAGUUGGUAGCUAUACAAAACUCCUGCUUAGGAACUGGAAGAAAGAAAGCGAUUUGGCAUCGCUGCAGCAGCUAGAGAGAUCUUAAAAGAGAUGCUUAGCUUACCUCUUUACAUGUAUCAAAAACAAGAACACCCAAUAUUCCAAGCCUGGUUCACAUCCAAGAUAUCGAAGAGGUCAAUGCUUCGGUCAAUGCAGACGAGAGUGUUGAGGUCAACAGCCAAGUCUCCAUGAUUUGCUUAUUAUUUGGAUCCUCAAAAACAAAGAGCAAUACCAUGAGAAUAUUCGAAAGCAAUAAUUGAAGGAGCUUAAGCCAAGAUGCCAUUCAUAUAUAUUACGAUAUUAGGUAAAAAGAUUCCCUGGAACGGAGGACGAGAUUGCGUUUGAAGGAAAAGAAGCGGUAUUAUUUUGACUCACAAUCUUGGAACAAGUACAAAUAAGUCCUUCUCCUUUAUAGUCUGGCUAAUCUGC